rnacentral:lncRNA from 1 species
UGGCGCGCGCGCUGUACCUAAAAUAAAAGAAAAACUUUCCAAACUAAACAUGAAACUUCUCCGGUAACAAUAAUAUAGACCCCAUACAGAAACAAACAAACAAACAAACAAACAAACACCCCCCAUUUCAAUUAAUUUUACAGGGGGAAAGACCCCCUACAAUUGCUUUUUUAAAGCAAUUGAUUUAUAUUUAUUUUUUUUUUCUCCGCCAACUUUU